rfam:Triticum aestivum genome assembly, contig: Triticum_aestivum_CS42_TGACv1_scaffold_052132_1BS
GGAUGCGAUCAUACCAGCACUAAAGCACCGGAUCCCAUCAGACCUCCGAGGUUAAGCGUGCUUGGGCGAGAGUAGUACUAGGAUGGGUGACCUCCUGGGAAGUCCUCGUGUUGCAUUCC